GUAUUGAUCGCGCGUCAUCGCGCAAAGAACAUUCUACAUUACGUUCGAAUGGGUGUUUAAUGUUUAAAAACGUGAGCAACCCCCUCCGAGGAAGGGGGACCCACGCGGUGAUGCACAAAGGGGUGAGAUGGAUGUUUGUAUUGUGAGAGCACUCGGGCGUGCACGACUACUAGAGUCAGCGACAGCCGUGGUACCCCCAUCGUACGAUAAUGAUCCUUCCGCAGGUUCACCUACGGAAA
rnacentral:misc_RNA from 1 species